rnacentral:rRNA from 1 species
ACGCUGGCGGCACGCCUAACACAUGCAAGUCGAACGAAGUAGCAAUACUUAGUGGCAGACGGGUGAGUAACAUGUAGGUAUCUGCCCUUUGGCCUGGAAUAACACGAGGAAACUUGUGCUAAUACCGGAUAAGUCUUACGGAGAAAGCUUUAUGCACCAUUGGAUGAGCCUGCACUUGAUUAGUUUGUUGGUGGGGUAAUGGCCUACCAAGACUGUGAUCAAUAGCUGAUUUGAGAGGAUGAUCAGCCACAUUGGGACUGAGACACGGCCCAAACUCCUACGGGAGGCAGCAGUGGGGAAUCUUGCACAAUGGAGGAAACUCUGAUGCAGCGAUGCCGCGUGAGUGAAGAAGGCCCUUGGGUUGUAAAGCUCUUUCGUCGGGGAAGAAAAUGACUGUACCCGAAUAAGAAGGUCCGGCUAACUUCGUGCCAGCAGCCGCGGUAAUACGAAGGGACCUAGCGUAGUUCGGAAUUACUGGGCUUAAAGAGUUCGUAGGUGGUUGAAAAAGUUAGUGGUGAAAUCCCAGAGCUUAACUCUGGAACUGCCAUUAAAACUUUUCAGCUAGAGUAUGAUAGAGGAAAGCAGAAUUUCUAGUGUAGAGGUGAAAUUCGUAGAUAUUAGAAAGAAUACCAAUUGCGAAGGCAGCUUUCUGGAUCAUUACUGACACUGAGGAACGAAAGCAUGGGUAGCGAAGAGGAUUAGAUACCCUCGUAGUCCAUGCCGUAAACGAUGUGUGUUAGACGUUGGAAAUUUAUUUUCAGUGACGCAGGGAAACCGAUAAACACACCGCCUGGGGAGUACGACCGCAAGGUUAAAACUCAAAUGAAUUGACGGGGACCCGCACAAGUAGUGGAGCAUGUGGUUUAAUUCGAAGAUACGCGCAGAACCUUACCAACACCUGACAUGUUCGUCGCGACUCUAAGAGAUUAGAGUUUUCGGUUCGGCCGGACGAAACACAGGUGCUGCAUGGCUGUCGUCAGCUCGUGUCGUGAGAUGUUGGGUUAAGUCCCGCAACGAGCGCAACCCUCACUUUUAGUUGCCAUCAUUAAGUUGGGCACUCUGAAAGAACUGCCAGUGAUAAGCUGGAGGAAGGUGGGGAUGACGUCAAGUCCUCAUGGCCCUUACGUGUUGGGCUACACACGUGCUACAAUGGUAUCUACAACAGGAAGCAAGACUGCGAAGUUAAGCAAAUCCCUAAAAGAUACCUCAGUUCGGAUUGCACUCUGCAACUCGAGUGCAUGAAGCUGGAAUUACUAGUAAUCGUGGAUCAGCGUGCCACGGUGAAUGCGUUCCCGGGUCUUGUACACACCGCCCGUCACACCAUGGGAGUUGGUUCUACCUUAAGGCAAGGUUUAAAACCCUUGACCACGGUAUAGUCAGCGACUGGGGUGAAGUCGUAACAAGGUAGCCGUAGGGGAACCUGCGGCUGGAUUACCUCCUUUCU